CACCCAUGAUAAACAGACACCAUGAGGAGGGUUGAUGAAAGAAAAAUCCGUGGCAACCUUGGGGAGUCCCCUGCUGCUCCUUAGGUGGAUUCCUGACUGUGGUUCAGAUGAAAUUGAUUGCUAACCUGGCCAACCCUGCAGUGAAGGUCAUUAUAACCAAGGUGUGAUGUGGGGUCACUAAAAUGGCUUUCUCUAGCUAGUCUAGGUCCUGGUUACUCAAAGUGUAGUCCCUGGGCCACUUGCAUCAGCGUCACCUGGGAGAUACUGCAUGAGACAAUCAGGAUCUGCAUUUUAACAAGAUCCCAGGGGGUUCCAGUACACGUUGCAGUUUGAGAACUGCUGCCCUAGAGAAGUUCUUCACCUCUCUCAGGUGUGAGAGCAGCCUCCUGCUACCUCCUUGCCUCCAGUCUUCCCGCCAGAGCCUGCACACUGCUGAUGAGUCCUGAGAUUAGUCAUCAAAUGCCAAUCCCUGCCUGCCACGUCCAUUUCGUAUGCAACAUAAAUAAACGGCUUCCUAUUAACUGUUUGAGUGCUAAGGCCCCAUCUCUUGACUGUGAUACUCAAAGUUUCCUAAAACAGCCUCUCUUCUACCUGCAGAAGCU
rnacentral:lncRNA from 1 species